rnacentral:rRNA from 1 species
UACAGAGGGUGCGAGCGUUGUUCGGAAUUAUUGGGCGUAAAGGGCGCGUAGGCGGUGCGGUAAGUCACCUGUGAAAUCUCCUGGCUCAACUGGGAGCUUGCAGGCGAAACUGCCGUGCUGGAGUGUGGGAGAGGUGCGUGGAAUUCCUGGUGUAGCGGUGAAAUGCGUAGAUAACAGGAGGAACACCUGUGGCGAAAGCGGCGCACUGGACCACAACUGACGCUGAGGCGCGAAAGCUAGGGGAGCAAACAGG